rnacentral:rRNA from 1 species
UACGGAGGAUGCAAGCGUUAUCCGGAUUUAUUGGGUUUAAAGGGUGCGCAGGCGGACCUGUAAGUCAUAGGUGAAAACCCGCUGCUUAACAGCGGGCGUGCCGGUGAUACUGCAGGACUAGUGUACAAGCGGCGUGGCCGGAAUGUGGCGUGUAGCGGUGAAAUGCUUAGAUAUGCCACAGAACGCCGAUCGUGAAGACAGGUCACGAGCUUGAUACAGACGCUCAUGCACGAAAGCGUGGGUAUCAAAC